AUUGAACGCUGGCGGCAUGCCUUACACAUGCAAGUCGAACGGCAGCACGGGUGCUUGCACCUGGUGGCGAGUGGCGAACGGGUGAGUAAUACAUCGGAACAUGUCCUGUAGUGGGGGAUAGCCCGGCGAAAGCCGGAUUAAUACCGCAUACGAUCCACGGAUGAAAGCGGGGGCCCUUCGGGCCUCGCGCUAUAGGGUUGGCCGAUGGCUGAUUAGCUAGUUGGUGGGGUAAAGGCCUACCAAGGCGACGAUCAGUAGCUGGUCUGAGAGGACGACCAGCCACACUGGGACUGAGACACGGCCCAGACUCCUAAGGGAGGCAGCAGUGGGGAAUUUUGGACAAUGGGCGAAAGCCUGAUCCAGCAAUGCCGCGUGUGUGAAGAAGGCCUUCGGGUUGUAAAGCACUUUUGUCCGGAAAGAAAUCCUUGGCUCUAAUACAGUCGGGGGAUGACGGUACCGGAAGAAUAAGCACCGGCUAACUACGUG
rnacentral:rRNA from 1 species